rnacentral:rRNA from 1 species
GACGAACGCUGGCGGCGUGCUUAACACAUGCAAGUCGUACGGUAAGGCCCUUUCGGUGGUACAUGCGCGGCGAACGGGCGGGUAACACGCGCGUAACUUGCCCACCACUGUCGUAUAACGCUAUGCAACUGAUUCGAACACUUGACAUGUGCUCCCUCUUCCUGCUUGGGGUUGGAAAGCUCGGGCGGGUGGGGGUGGAUGCGCGGCCUGCCAGUUUGCUGGUGGGGGAGUGGCCUACCAAGGCGGCGGCGGGUGGCCGGCCUGGGUGGGGGGGCGGCCACAAUGGGGCUGGGGAACGGCCCAGGCUCCUACGGGGGGGAGGAGUGGGGAAUAUUGCCCAAUGGGGCGGAGCCCGAUGCAACAACGCCGCGUGCGGGAUGACGGCCUUCGGGUUGGAAACCGCUUUCAGCAGGGACGGAGCUGUUUGUGACGGUACCUGGAGAAGAAGCACCGGCUAACUACGUG